AUGAACGCUGGCGGCGUGCCUAAUACAUGCAAGUCGAGCGAAUGGAUUAAGAGCUUGCUCUUAUGAAGUUAGCGGCGGACGGGUGAGUAACACGUGGGUAACCUGCCCAUAAGACUGGGAUAACUCCGGGAAACCGGGGCUAAUACCGGAUAACAUUUUGAACUGCAUGGUUCGAAAUUGAAAGGCGGCUUCGGCUGUCACUUAUGGAUGGACCCGCGUCGCAUUAGCUAGUUGGUGAGGUAACGGCUCACCAAGGCAACGAUGCGUAGCCGACCUGAGAGGGUGAUCGGCCACACUGGGACUGAGACACGGCCCAGACUCCUACGGGAGGCAGCAGUAGGGAAUCUUCCGCAAUGGACGAAAGUCUGACGGAGCAACGCCGCGUGAGUGAUGAAGGCUUUCGGGUCGUAAAACUCUGUUGUUAGGGAAGAACAAGUGCUAGUUGA
rnacentral:rRNA from 2 species